UUAUUGGGUAUAUUAACUAUUC
rnacentral:siRNA from 1 species